rnacentral:rRNA from 1 species
CAGUCGCCACGGUAAUACGGAGGGUGCAAGCGUUAAUCGGAUUUACUGGGCGUAAAGCGUGCGUAGGCGGCUUUUUAAGUCGGAUGUGAAAUCCCUGAGCUUAACUUAGGAAUUGCAUUCGAUACUGGGAAGCUAGAGUAUGGGAGAGGAUGGUAGAAUUCCAGGUGUAGCGGUGAAAUGCGUAGAGAUCUGGAGGAAUACCGAUGGCGAAGGCAGCCAUCUGGCCUAAUACUGACGCUGAGGUACGAAAGCAUGGGGAGCAAACAGGAUUAGAUACCCCAGUAGUCCCUGUCUCUUAUAC